GAUGAACGCUGGCGGCGUGCCUAAUACAUGCAAGUCGAGCGAACGGACGAGAAGCUUGCUUCUCUGAUGUUAGCGGCGGACGGGUGAGUAACACGUGGAUAACCUACCUAUAAGACUGGGAUAACUUCGGGAAACCGUAGCUAAUACCGGAUAAUAUUUUGAACCGCAUGGUUCAAAAGUGAAAGACGGUCUUGCUGUCACUUAUAGAUGGAUCCGCGCUGCAUUAGCUAGUUGGUAAGGUAACGGCUUACCAAGGCAACGAUGCAUAGCCGACCUGAGAGGGUGAUCGGCCACACUGGAACUGAGACACGGUCCAGACUCCUACGGGAGGCAGCAGUAGGGAAUCUUCCGCAAUGGGCGAAAGCCUGACGGAGCAACGCCGCGUGAGUGAUGAAGGUCUUCGGAUCGUAAAACUCUGUUAUUAGGGAAGAACAUAUGUGUAAGUAACUGUGCACAUCUUGACGGUACCUAAUCAGAAAGCCACGGCUAACUACGUGCCAGCAGCCGCGGUAAUACGUAGGUGGCAAGCGUUAUCCGGAAUUAUUGGGCGUAAAGCGCGCGUAGGCGGUUUUUUAAGUCUGAUGUGAAAGCCCACGGCUCAACCGUGGAGGGUCAUUGGAAACUGGAAAACUUGAGUGCAGAAGAGGAAAGUGGAAUUCCAUGUGUAGCGGUGAAAUGCGCAGAGAUAUGGAGGAACACCAGUGGCGAAGGCGACUUUCUGGUCUGUAACUGACGCUGAUGCGCGAAAGCGUGGGGAUCAAACAGGAUUAGAUACCCUGGUAGUCCACGCCGUAAACGAUGAGUGCUAAGUGUUAGGGGGUUUCCGCCCCUUAGUGCUGCAGCUAACGCAUUAAGCACUCCGCCUGGGGAGUACGACCGCAAGGUUGAAACUCAAAGGAAUUGACGGGGACCCGCACAAGCGGUGGAGCAUGUGGUUUAAUUCGAAGCAACGCGAAGAACCUUACCAAAUCUUGACAUCCUUUGACAACUCUAGAGAUAGAGCCUUCCCCUUCGGGGGACAAAGUGACAGGUGGUGCAUGGUUGUCGUCAGCUCGUGUCGUGAGAUGUUGGGUUAAGUCCCGCAACGAGCGCAACCCUUAAGCUUAGUUGCCAUCAUUAAGUUGGGCACUCUAAGUUGACUGCCGGUGACAAACCGGAGGAAGGUGAGGAUGACGUCAAAUCAUCAUGCCCCUUAUGAUUUGGGCUACACACGUGCUACAAUGGACAAUACAAAGGGCAGCGAAACCGCGAGGUCAAGCAAAUCCCAUAAAGUUGUUCUCAGUUCGGAUUGUAGUCUGCAACUCGACUACAUGAAGCUGGAAUCGCUAGUAAUCGUAGAUCAGCAUGCUACGGUGAAUACGUUCCCGGGUCU
rnacentral:rRNA from 1 species